GAAAGCGAAAUCGAGAAAUUGAGAAAUCGGGAAAUCGGGAAAUCGAGAAAUAGAGAAAGCAAAAACGCAAAAUCGAGAAUUCAUUUCGCGUUUUCGUGUUUUCUCUUUCGUGUUUUGGCGUUUUUGCUUUCUUGAUUUCUCGAUUUUUCGAUUUCCCGAUUUUAUCUAUUUCCCAAUUUUUCGAUUU
rnacentral:sRNA from 1 species